rnacentral:rRNA from 1 species
AUUGAACGCUGGCGGCAUGCUUUACACAUGCAAGUCGAACGGUAACAGGGAGCUUGCUCCGCUGACGAGUGGCGAACGGGUGAGUAAUGCGUCGGAACGUGCCGAGUAGUGGGGGAUAACGCAUCGAAAGGUGUGCUAAUACCGCAUACGAACUGAGGUUGAAAGUGGGGGACCUUCGGGCCUCACGCUAUUCGAGCGGCCGACGUCUGAUUAGCUAGUUGGUGAGGUAAAGGCUCACCAAGGCGACGAUCAGUAGCGGGUCUGAGAGGAUGAUCCGCCACGCUGGGACUGAGACACGGCCCAGACUCCUACGGGAGGCAGCAGUGGGGAAUUUUGGACAAUGGGCGCAAGCCUGAUCCAGCCAUGCCGCGUGUCUGAAGAAGGCCUUCGGGUUGUAAAGGACUUUUGUCCGGGAGCAAAUGCUGGUGGCUAACAUCCACCGGAGCUGAGAGUACCGGAAGAAUAAGCACCGGCUAACUACGUGCCAGCCGCCGCAGUAACAC